rnacentral:lncRNA from 1 species
UACCCAGAAGAGUGGCUCAAGUUCACAUUCAGAAUUUAUUUGUUGAAAGAGUAUCUCCACUUUAUCACAAUCGAGCACUUCCAAUUCUUUCAGAAGUGGCCAACUUGAACUAAACCUUCUAGAGCAAAAUCUUUUGAGUUGGUGUAAACCAGAGAGAGUGAGAGAGGUAAGGUUAGGGAAUAAGAGUAAAGGUGCUGCUUCAUCUUUAUUUUCAUUGGCAACAAUUGCCUCCACUCCACUCUCCGAUAUAUAUAGGUAAUCAAGUUGCACAAGAGCACUCGCCACAGAAACCGGAAAAAGGUUUAGCAAUUUGUUGCAUCCCCUUACUUGCAAUUUCCUUAAUUUGGAAAAUGAAUUUGCUGGAAGUUGGUCAGGCCACAAUGCUCUUAUAUUAUCUAGUCCACGUACAGACAAGGACUCCAAGCCUGGGAGUGCAACCUGUGCAAUUGAUGAUCCCUUUAGUUAAUAAUAUAUACAUAUACAUUCCUAAUAAUUAGACACAUGUAAAUAGAAAAUAAGAGGUUAAAGGAGAAUAUAUCAGUAUAACAAAGCACAAAAUUUAAACUAGAUUCAAGAAGAUCAAGAAAGAGAAAAGAAAAGAAAAAGCCUCCAGAUUUUGAAGAUACAAUGAAACUUAAAAAAAAAAAAAAAAAACCUCCAAAUUUUCCUUUCGAAAUGAGGUAAUAAGAGGAUUUUUCUUUGCCUCUCUUUCAAAUUUGAUUAACUUCUAUGGAAAACGUAUUUUAACUAGUUAUGGAAAACAUAUUUUUUUUUUUAAACUUUUAUAUAAGAUACAAGUAAUACUUUAAAAAAAUUGUGACAUCUAAAAAAUUUUUUGAAAAAUUAUUUUUAAAGAAAUAAGGUAAAUCUAUACUUUUUGUAUAAGAUGUUCUACCUUUAUAUACAAAUUUCUGAUUUUUUUUUUUUAAAGUGUAUCCAAAUGGACACUAAACUAUCUAGUUUUUAAUUGUUACAACUUUGAAUUGCAUUUUAUGGUAAACUAAUUUACAAGUUAAUGCAUGGAUUCAUCUUAGAUUCCAUCUAUAAAUUUUUUUAAUUAUCUAAUAUAAGACAUUAUAUUAAUGGGUUGAAUUAAUAAUGUAAUUAUAAUUUAUUUGGCAACUUUCUUCCUUCAAAUAUAUAAAAUGAAAAUAAAUUUUAAAAAAUAAAAAAAAAAUGAAAAACAUAAAAAAUAAAAAAAGAUUUUUUUUUAUAGUUUUUCUAAGAUGAUUUUGUAGAGUACUGUUAGUUUAUAGUUUUAACUUUAUUUCAUUUUACUUUUAACUUUAUUUAUUGAGGUAUGUUCUUUUUUGAAACUCUUGUUUAGAUUUUAUAGAGAAUAUAAAUUUUAAGAAAAAAAAUGAAAUUUAAAUAAAAUAAGAAUAAAGAAAGGCAAAAGGUGGAUGAAUUUUUUUAAGGCAAAAGUUUGAUAACUUGGCACUAUCAUGUAAUGGGUGAAAUUUUUAAAUACUCAACAAAGGCUAGUGAAAUUUAAAUUAAAAGCUUGAUAUGUACUUUUUCGACCAAAAUCUUUGGAGUUGGUGUAAAGUUUUGAGUAUGAGAGAGGUUAGUCUAGGGAAUACUAUUGCACAUUAGUUCAAAUAAAACAUCAACAUUUUUUUUUGUUAAAUUCUAAAUGAACACCACUAUAAAUUAAUGCGAUUUUGUAUGCUCAAUUAAAUAAACUCGUUCUUAAGGCAUCACAUGAAGUGUUUAAGUCUAAUGAAUAUUAAUUAAAAAUGAUUAUAUUAAAAAAAUCCAAAGUAAUUUAUUUUUAUCAUAAGUCAAGUAGGAUAGUUUUAUAAAUAAACUGUUCUAGUUUCUAGUAUAAUUGUACACAAUCGCUAUGUUUGUUGCACCUCCAAAAAAUCUACUACUUGUAAUUAAUUGUAUAUUAUUCUCCAUAUUCACAUCAGUUUAUGUAGUAUGAUUAAUUUAGCAACAAAAUAUAAGUUUACUUGAAAUCGCUUUAAAUUCCUAUGAUAUUAAAGUUUAAGAUUAAAACAAUGUAACAUUAGCCAAAAAGACUAAGAUCUAUAAUGUAACAUAUAAAAUUUAGAAAAUUCAAGGAAGGGUAAACUCGCACCUGUUCUACCCAGAAGAGUGGCUCAAGUUCACAUUCAGAAUUUAUUUGUUGAAAGAGUAUCUCCACUUUAUCACAAUCGAGCACUUCCAAUUCUUUCAGAAGUGGCCAGCUUGAACUAAACCUUCUAGAGCAAAAUCUUUUCAGUUGGUGUAAACCGGAGAGUGUGAGAGAGGUAAGGUUAGGGAAUAAGAGUAAAGGUGCUGCUUCAUCUUCAUUUUCAUUGGCAACAAUUGCCUCCACUCCACUCUCCGAUAUAUAUAGGUCCUCAAGAUGCACAAGAGCACUCGCCACAGAAACCGGAAAAAGGUUUAGCAGUUUGUUGCAUCCCCUUACUUGCAAUUUCCUUAAUUUGGAAAAUGAAUUUGCUGGAAGUUGGUCAGGCCACAAUGCUCUUAUAUUAUCUAGUCCGCGUACAGACAAGGACUCCAACCCUGGGAGUGCAACCUCUGCAAUUGAUGAUCCCUUUAGUUAAUAAUAUAUACAUAUACAUUCCUAAUAAUUAGACACAUGUAAAUAGAAAAUAAGAGGUUAAAGGAGAAUAUAUCAGUAUAACAAAGCACAAAAUUUAAACUAGAUUCAAGAAGAUCAAGAAAGAGAAAAGAAAAGAAAAAGCCUCCAGAUUUUGAAGAUACAAUGAAACUUAAAAAAAAAAAAAAAAACCUUCAAAUUUUCCUUUCGAAAUGAGCUAAUAAGAGGAUUUUUUUUUUCUUUUUUCUUUGCAUCUCUUUCAAAUUUGAUUAACUUCUAUGGAAAACGUAUUUUAACUAGUUAUGGAAAACGGAUAUUUUUUUUUUAACUUUUAUAUAAGAUACAAGUAAUACUUUAAAAAAAUUGUGAUAUCUAAAUAAUUUUUUGAAAAAUUAUUUUGAAAGAAAUAAGGUAAAUCUAUACUUUUUGUAUAAGAUGUUCAACCUUUAUAUACAAAUUUCUAAUUUUUUUUUUUAAAGUGUAUCCAAAUGGACACUAAACUAUCUAGUUUUUAAUUGUUACAACUUUGAAUUGGAUUUUAUGGUAAACUAAUUUACAAGUUAAUGCAUGGAUUCAUCUUAGAUUCCAUCUAUAAAUUUUUUUAAUUAUCUAAUAUAAGACAUUAUAUUAAUGGGUUGAAUUAAUAAUGUAAUUAUAAUUUAUUUGGCAACUUUCUUCCUUCAAAUAUAUAAAAUGAAAAUAAAUUUUAAAAAAUAAAAAAAAUGAAAAAAAUAAAAAAUAAAAAAAGAUUUUUUUUAUAGUUUUUCUAAGGUGAUUUUGUAGAGUAUUGUUAGUUUAUAGUUUUAACUUUAUUUCAUUUUACUUUUAACUUUAUUUAUUGAGGUAUGUUCUUUUUUGCAACUCUUGUUUAGAUUUUAUAGAGAAUAUAAAUUUUAAGAAAAAAAAUGAAAUUUAAAUAAAAUAAGAAUAAAGAAAGGCAAAAGGUGGAUGAAUUUUCUUAAGGCAAAAGUUUGAUAACUUGGCACUAUCAUGUAAUGGGUGAAAUUUUUAAAUACUCAACAAAGGCUAGUGAAAUUUAAAUUAAAAGCUUGACAUGUACCUUUUCGACCAAAAUCUUUGGAGUUGGUGUAAAGUUUUGAGUAUGAGAGAGGUUAGUAUAGGGAAUAUUAUUGCACAUUAGUUCAAAUAAAACAUCAACAUUUUUUUUUGUUAAAUUCUAAAUGAACACCACUAUAAAUUAAUGCGAUUUUGUAUGCUCAAUUAAAUAAACUCGUUCUUAAGGCAUCACAUGAAGUGUUUAAGUCUAAUUAAUAUUAAUUAAAAAUGAUUAUAUUAAAAAAAAUCCAAAGUAAUUUAUUUUUAUCAUAAGUCAAGUAGGAUAGUUUUAUAAAUAAUUGGUUCUAGUUUCUAGUAUUAUUGUACACAAUCGCUAUGUUUGUUGCACCUCCAAAAAAUCUACUACUUGUAAUUAAUUGUAUAUUAUUCUCCAUAUUCACAUCAGUUUAUGUAGUAUGAUUAAUUUAGCAACAAAAUAUAAGUUUACUUGAAAUCGCUUUAAAUUCCUAUGAUAUUAAAGUUUAAGAUUAAAACAAUGUAACAUUAGCCAAAAAGAUUAAGAUCUAUAAUGUAACAUAUAAAAUUUAGAAAAUUCAAGGAAGGGUAAACUCGCACCUGUUCUACCCAGAAGAGUGGCUCAAGUUCACAUUCAGAAUUUAUUUGUUGAAAGAGUAUCUCCACUUUAUCACAAUCGAGCACUUCCAAUUCUUUCAGAAGUGGCCAGCUUGAACUAAACCUUCUAGAGCAAAAUCUUUUGAGUUGGUGUAAACCGGAGAGUGUGAGAGAGGUAAGGUUAGGGAAUGAGAGUAAAGGUGCUGCUUCAUCUUCAUUUUCAUUGGCAACAAUUGCCUCCACUCCACUCUCCGAUAUAUAAAGGUCCUCAAGUUGCACAAGAGCACUCGCCACAGAAACCGGAAAAAGGUUUAGCAAUUUGUUGCAUCCCCUUCCUUGCAAUUUCCUUAAUUUGGAAAAUGAAUUUGCUGGAAGUUGGUCAGGCCACAAUGCUCUUAUAUUAUCUAGUCCACGUACAGACAAGGACUCCAAGCCUGGGAGUGCAACCUGU